UAGGGUGUCGCUGUGUCGGUGGGGGCUGUUCCUCUAUAAAAGGGGAAGUGGCACUGUAGUAGGGAGUGCCAGUUUCCUGUUGGAGUUGCCAGGACGUUGCUGGGUCACGUCAGCCUUGGUGCAAGGUGAUUUUAGCAGCAUCAGGGCUGGGACCUGAGUGAUGUUGAUCCUGGGAAAAGAGUGUUGACUGAGUAAGGGAAUUCAACGCUGCAGCUGUUGGGUACCGUUGCCUGCUGUCCUUUUAGGGUUUUUGUUUUAAAGUUAGUCCGCUCCUGGUCCGAGUUGUCUCUGAUGGUGCUGAUUGUACGAGCAGACUAACUGUUUAAUUUUUUGUUUGUUUGUUUUGUUUGUUUGGGCACUCCCCUGUGAAUGAGUUUAGCCCUCCUGUCAGUAGCCACCCGGAGCCGUUCUACAUCCGACUUUUGUGCAUGCAGACAUGGGUGUUAGUUUGCAGUGGGUUGCAGUGCAAUCGUGUGUGGUUUUGGUUUUGCCCGCUGUAGGGCCGGUUACCUAAGCGGGUUCUCCGCCUUUGUGGUGUGCGGUUCUAGUCAGGUGGGAGUAGGCGGGUUCCGGGUUAGACGACAGGAGGAGCAAAUG